rnacentral:rRNA from 1 species
UUGAGGGUUGGAGAGGUAGCUGGAAUUAUCGGUGUAGCAGUGAAAUGCGUGGAUAUCGAUAGGAACACUCGUGGCGAAGGCGAGCUACUGGACAACAUCUGACGCUGAGGCUCGAAGGCCAGGGGAGCAAAAGGGAUUAGAUACCCCUGUAGUCCUGGCAGUAAACGGUGUGCGCUUGGUGUGAGGGGAUUCGACCCCCCCUUGUGCCGGAGCUAACGCGUUAAGCGCACCGCCUGGGAAGUACGGCCGCAAGGCUAAAACUCAAAGAAAUUGACGGGGACCCGCACAAGCGGUGGAGUAUGUGGCUUAAUUCGAUGCAACGCGAAGAACCUUACCAAGGCUUGACAUGGAUUUCUAAGCACGUGAAAGCGUGUGACCCUUCGGGGGACUUCCACAGGUGCUGCAUGGCCGUCGUCAGCUCGUGUCGUGAGAUGUUGGGUUAAGUCCCGCAACGAGCGCAACCCCUGUGAUUAGUUGCCAGCACGUAAUGGUGGGGACUCUAGUCAGACUGCCCAGAUCAACUGGGAGGAAGGUGGGGACGACGUCAGGUCAGUAUGGCCCUUACGCCUUGGGCUGCACACGUACUACAAUGCCCAGCACAAUGAGAACCGAGACCGCGAGGUGGAGGAAAUCUGUAAAACUGGGCCCAGUUCGGAUUGGAGGCUGCAACUCGCCUCCAUGAAGCCGGAAUCGCUAGUAAUGCUGCAUCAGCUACGGCAGCGUGAAUACGUUCCCGGGUCUUGUACACACCGCCCGUCACAUCAUGGAAGCCGGUAGCACCCGAAGUAUCGUACGAUCCUAAGGUGAAGCUGGUAACUGGGAUGAAGUCGUAACUAAGGUAACC